AUGGAUGAACUUAUGAAAUUAUUUUCUAAUAAGAGUGUUUCUUCUUAUCCUAAUGAUAUGCCCUUGUCUACUUCGAUUGAGAAUAAUAAUGAAUCUAUGGAUGUGAAUCUUUUUGGUAGGAACAAUUUUGGUAACAACGCGUAUAGAGGAAAUUUCAACCCUAGGCCUUAUCCUAGUAAUCCCUCUAAUAAUUGUGGUAAUUCGUACAACAAUUCUUAUGGAAAUUAUAAUAAGAUGCCCUCUGAUUUUGAAUCUAAUAUUAAAGAAUUUAUUACUUCGCAAAAGAAUUUUAAUGCUAUGAUUGAAGAAAAAUUGCUUAAGAUUGAUGAUUUGGCUAGGAGCGUUGAUAGAAUUUCUCUUGAUGUUUGA
rnacentral:rRNA from 1 species